rnacentral:rRNA from 1 species
UCCCUACGGGGGGCAGCAGUGGGGAAUAUUGCGCAAUGGGGGAAACCCUGACGCAGCAACGCCGCGUGAGUGAGGAAGUAUCUCGGUAUGUAAAGCUCUAUCAGCGGGGAAGAAGGAAGACGGUACCCGACUAAGAAGCCCCGGCUAACUACGUGCCAGCAGCCGCGGUAAUACGUAGGGGGCAAGCGUUAUCCGGAUUUACUGGGUGUAAAGGGAGCGUAGACGGCGAUGCAAGUCUGAAGUGAAAGGCGGGGGCCCAACCCCCGGACUGCUUUGGAAACUGUAUAGCUGGAGUGCAGGAGAGG